GUCAUUUUUUCGGGCGAAAUAUUUCUUUUUUCGGGCCAAAAUAUUUGUGUUUUGGGGGCAAUGAACCGAAAUUUGGUAUAGAAAAUUGCGGAAAAGUCCAACGAAAGCAAUUAUAACGCACCUAAAAAGAAUUUAUUGUGCGAAAAAUUUUUUGCAAUAGGGGCCCCUAAAAAUUUUUUUGCUCCGGGCCCCCGCCAAGCUCUCAGCGGCCCUGUCAAUUAGUGAACUUUUGAACAAGCUCUCUGCCACAUUUCGCCGUCUGUGAAAAAAGGACAGCCAAUGUAACCUCGUUCGCAGGGCAUUCCCAGCCGAACGAAGUUUUGCAGUGAAACGUGUAAGUCUCUGUGUUGCAUAACGGUAGUUGCAUGCAGCCGAGACACAGGGCCUUCUAUUUGCAUUUCAGAUCGACUUAAAGUGCUUUUUCACACGAGAGGACUGGAACGCCUCGUGACGUCAUGAAGUCGAUUAAACCUUAGGUCCUGCAAAUCGACUGCCACCUGCCGAGAGAAGCUUGGCCGCAGGUCUGUCUAGGUGUUGCAUGUACUCUGGAGUUAGCACUAUUUUCCAUUCAGCAAACUGACGUCAUUUUCGGAAGAUGGAAGAGGUGCUAAAUGGCUAUGUAACUAACCCAAACCCUACCUCUACUCUAACCGCAACUCUAACC